rnacentral:rRNA from 1 species
GACGAACGCUGGCGGCGUGCUUAACACAUGCAAGUCGAACGAUGAUGCCCAGCUUGCUGGGUGGAUUAGUGGCGAACGGGUGAGUAACACGUGAGUAACCUGCCCCUGACUCUGGGAUAAGCGUUGGAAACGACGUCUAAUACUGGAUAUGACUGCCGGCCGCAUGGUCUGGUGGUGGAAAGAUUUUUUGGUUGGGGAUGGACUCGCGGCCUAUCAGAUUGUUGGUGAGGUAAUGGCUCACCAAGGCGACGACGGGUAGCCGGCCUGGGAGGGUGACCGGCCACACUGGGACGGAGACACGGCCCAGACUCCUACGGGAGGCAGCAGUGGGGAAUAUUGCACAAUGGGCGAAAGCCUGAUGCAGCAACGUCGCGUGAGGGAUGACGGCCUUCGGGUUGUAAACCUCUUUUAGUAGGGAAGAAGCGAAAGUGACGGUACCUGCAGAAAAAGCACCGGCUAACUACGUGCCAGCAGCCGCAGUAA